GAUGAACGCUGGCGGCGUGCUUAACACAUGCAAGUCGAACGGUGAAGGCGGAGCUUGCUCUGCUGGAUCAGUGGCGAACGGGUGAGUAACACGUGAGCAAUCUGCCCCUGACUCUGGGAUAAGCGCUGGAAACGGCGUCUAAUACUGGAUACGAGCUGCGAAGGCAUCUUCAGCAGCUGGAAAGAACUUCGGUCAGGGAUGAGCUCGCGGCCUAUCAGCUUGUUGGUGAGGUAACGGCUCACCAAGGCGUCGACGGGUAGCCGGCCUGAGAGGGUGACCGGCCACACUGGGACUGAGACACGGCCCAGACUCCUACGGGAGGCAGCAGGGGAGAAUAUUGCACAAUGGGCGAAAGCCUGAUGCAGCAACGCCGCGUGGGGGACGACGGCCUUCGGGUUGUAAACCUCUUUUAGCAGGGAAGAAGCGAAAGUGACGGUACCUGCAGAAAAAGCGCCGGCUAACUACGUG
rnacentral:rRNA from 1 species